UUCCUACGGGGGGCUGCAGUGAGGAAUAUUGCACAAUGGAGGAAACUCUGAUGCAGCAACGCCGCGUGGAGGAUGACGCAUUUCGGUGUGUAAACUCCUUUUAAGAGGGAAGAUAAUGACGGUACCUCUUGAAUAAGCACCGGCUAACUCCGUGCCAGCAGCCGCGGUAAUACGGAGGGUGCAAGCGUUACUCGGAAUCACUGGGCGUAAAGGGUGCGUAGGCUGGCUUCUAAGUCAGAUGUGAAAUCCAAUGGCUUAACCAUUGAACUGCAUUUGAAACUGGGAGCCUAGAGUGCAGAAGGGGCAGAUGGAAUUAGGGGUGUAGGGGUAAAAUCCGUAGAUAUCACUAGGAAUAUCAAAAGCGAAGGCGAUCUGCUGGGAUGAUACUGACGCUGAGGCACGAAAGCGUGGGGAGCAAACAGGAUUAGAUACCCCAGUAGUCUUG
rnacentral:rRNA from 1 species